UCUCGCCUGAGUCUCCAUGGUGAUAUAAACACAGAUCAUUAUAAAAGAUAGAUGAAUUCCACUCGAGGUGGAAGUAAAUCAUAAGAGUGGAGAUAUGCGGUACAGCGAACCAGUCAAGGAAGUGUUUUCCCACCAUCACCAUGACCAUGAUAAUAAGCACCUCAGAUGUACAAACACGCACGUAUUAUUUGUGCGUAACUCAACCUAGCAUUAUUGCUAAUAGUUUUGGUAGCCCUGACCACGGAGGCUGUGGUCUGGUGCGCGAACGGUACUUGGGCAGUGUCGGGGAAGACAUAAAUAUGUUAUAAAGCGAUGUUAUGCAUUUCUUCUGGACCCUAGUAGAGAAGGAGCUCGCGCGCUCUGGCUUCCAACGGCCCGCCAACCGGCAUUUCGCGCCACUCUGGGGUCACGCGCCUCGCUGCUGGGAAAGCGCGAGCUGAAAACCGAAUCCUGUCAGCCGGGGAAAAACUGCGAAUAAAACCUCGCACAAAAGGGAAAAGAUGGGUUCUACCAGGAAGCUGAUCUUUUGCCCAGAAGUAUGGGCCUAAGGCAGUCACCUUUACAAUUCAUAUGGGAAAAGACUGACCAGGAAGAUGGUGCAUCCUGCAGUUUUACAACCUGGCACUAUGGCUUGCAGCUGCCCUCUGUGGUGGCAUGAAAAGUUUUGUUGCCAACGCAGUCCUCUGCAACUUUGUACAAGAAGCCAGGUGCCUCCCCCGUUCUGCCGUGUAAAAGGACAUAAGAAGAACAGCGAAUGUGCAAAAUCAAUACAGCUGCAACACAAAUUGGACCCCAAUGAGGACAUGUGAGUAUUUGAUAAUUAAGCAUAGCAAAUAGAUUGUUUCAGUGGGGAUAAAUCUGUCAGUAAUGAUUCAUGUUCCAUCAGUUGUCCAGUCUUUGGGAAAUGAAGCAUGCAGAUUGAAUAGAAAAUGUGGAGGUGUUGGGGGGGGGCAAGCACUUUCUCUACCCAAUGGGGGAAUCCAGGAAAGGCCACCAUCUAUUAGUGCUUGAGGUAUCCUGCUUUUGUUUAGAGUCACGUGCGGACAUGCUUUGCUGCAGGCCCAAAAAAUCACAUUAUGGCAGGUUGUGACCUUUCCAAAGCCCU
rnacentral:lncRNA from 1 species